rnacentral:other from 1 species
UAAUCCCUGCAAUUCGCGUAUUAAGCCUAUAUUUUUUACCAACAAAUUAUAUACGGGAUAUUGAUAUUUUUUUGCGGCAUAUACGCCUCCUUUUCCUAACAGGAACUGCCAGUGGACAUAUAAAGCAAAAAUAAGAUAACCCACCUGCUUAUGCAGGUAAGAAAUCAGGUCUUGUUUACGGUCUGUGCGGGGCAAAA